rnacentral:rRNA from 1 species
AGCGAACGCUGGCGGCAGGCCUAACACAUGCAAGUCGAACGGAUCCUUCGGGAUUAGUGGCGGACGGGUGAGUAACACGUGGGAACGUGCCCUUUGGUUCGGAACAACUCAGGGAAACUUGAGCUAAUACCGGAUGUGCCCUUCGGGGGAAAGAUUUAUCGCCAUUGGAGCGGCCCGCGUCUGAUUAGCUAGUUGGUGAGGUAAAGGCUCACCAAGGCGACGAUCAGUAGCUGGUCUGAGAGGAUGAUCAGCCACAUUGGGACUGAGACACGGCCCAAACUCCUACGCGAGGCAGCAGUGGGGAAUCUUGCGCAAUGGGCGAAAGCCUGACGCAGCCAUGCCGCGUGAAUGAUGAAGGUCUUAGGAUUGUAAAAUUCUUUCACCGGGGACGAUAAUGACGGUACCCGGAGAAGAAGCCCCGGCUAACUUCGUGCCAGCAGCCGCAGUAA